CAGUGGAAGACCUAUUGACUUAAUAUUGAUUAAUCAGGUCUUAGUGUUUGCAACUUGAGCUCUUCAUAAGAGGUAAUCGAAUAAUUGGCCAGGUAAGCAGGUGGGAGGCUCCUCUUACUCAGAGAGUAAGGUCCUAAUUAAGUAACCACCUUUCAUGCUUUCCUAGACACCAAUUAGAUCAAUUAAUCUAAUAUGACUUGCUCGUGUCGGUUCACUCUCGACUUGAUUGAGGAGGUUUUGAUUUAGGUCUCAAUUGGGUUUGCUACAUCAUAUGUAAACCUAUCUACCCGACUCACAUUCACAUCACAUGCAAACGGCACAUUGCAGGCAGUUAUAAUCGCAGCAAUAAUAAAAGCUAAACUUUAAAUAGGUGAUGAUCAUGGAUUCUAGUUAGAUCGUAUUACAAGCACAUGCACGUCAAUCGAUCAACUGGUCUUCAACUCUUGAAUUGGUUCCAAGCCUCCUUGAUUCGAUCCUUGACCAACUCUUGAUCCAA
rnacentral:lncRNA from 1 species